AGCCUGUGCAAACAGAACAGAAAAUUAUUCCCGGGGAUGAAGGCUGGCAGCGGAGAUCUUCAUGGUAUACUGUGUUCCUGGACUUUCCACAGGAUGAAACCUCUGGGUGACAGGAGAUACAAGACAGUGAUGCCUCCCAUUCACUUUCCAUCUGUAAAACCUUUCCUGCAGAAACACAAGCCUUAUGUCUAUCCCACAAAGUGCUUCCGAAUAAUUGAAGAAAAAGUACUAGUGGAAUCACUCUGAGCUUGGAGAGCUCCAGACAUCUUUAAUUGGCACAACUUUUGCAGGCAAAGUGAUAGAAAUUAAACUGACUGCUAACUAUCUGCAUUUCUUUUCUAUGCUGCAAUCAAGAAAAAAGAUGCGACCUUCUUCUCAAUCCACACAGAAAUGAAAUCUAUUCCAAUUUUCAUUUUAAGCACAAUAUUGACAAAUUUAUUCUGAUAUAUUUAAUGUUGUACUUAUGGUUUCCCCCU
rnacentral:lncRNA from 1 species